rnacentral:lncRNA from 1 species
AAAAGAAAAGCCUAGGGACCAGCAGAAAGUGGCAACUGGUAGCUUUUAAAUUCUGUGACGUCCGGAGCUGGGAGACAUGACAAAUUGGUCGUAGUAGCCGGUGUGGCGAGUUGAGUGGGGAAUUGGGGACGGCAGGCAGGCGCAGUAAACAUGAGAAUAAAGAAAAAAAAUAAAAAAAUUGAAGUAAUAUUCAAGAAUAAAAUCAAAGAGUUGGAAGGAAAGGAGAAGGAGAGAUAAUAAAGAUUUUGAGAGCAAGAGGAAGAGGGAAAGAUCUGAUCAAGGACUGUUGGGAUGGGUUUAGCUUCUGAGGAUAAAGGUGAGGCGAAGG